rnacentral:rRNA from 1 species
CCUACGGGGGGCUGCAGUGAGGAAUAUUGGUCAAUGGGCGCAAGCCUGAACCAGCCAUGCAGCGUGCAGGAUGACGGCCCUACGGGUUGUAAACUUCUUUUAUAAAGGAGUAAAGUGAGGCACGUGUGCCUUUUUGUAUGUACUUUAUGAAUAAGGAUCGGCUAACUCCGUGCCAGCAGCCGCGGUAAUACGGAGGAUACGAGCGUUAUCCGGAUUUAUUGGGUUUAAAGGGAGCGUAGAUGGGUUGGUAAGUCAGUUGUGAAAGUUUGCGGCUCAACCGUAAAAUUGCAAUUGAUACUGGCAGUCUUGAGUAUAGUUGAGGUAGGCGGAAUGUGUGGUGUAGCGGUGAAAUGCUUAGAUAUCACGAAGAACACCGAUGGCGAAGGCAGCUUACUAAACUGCCACUGACAUUGAGGCUCGAAAGCGUGGGUAGCAAACAGGAUUAGAUACCCGGGUAGUC